rnacentral:lncRNA from 1 species
AAAAACAAGAAAAAAUAAAAUUGUUGGGCCUGAAUGGUGUAAGCCCUGAAAUAGGGGGUAUCAUGGCCAGAACACACGAAAUGGGAACUGGGCCUGAGGCCCACUCGGCCUGCCUAAUUCCAAGAAAUUCAUCUGAAGCUGGAGGGGAAGAAAGCAAGAACCGUUGGGCCUAAUGCUUAAGGCCCAAGCAAUGUACUGUCUAAACGGAGGGGUGCGGGCUUAUGAAAAG